rnacentral:rRNA from 1 species
CCUACGGGAGGCUGCAGUGGGGGAUAUUGGACAAUGGGGGAAACCCUGAUGCAGCGACGCCGCGUGGGGGAAGACGGGCCUCGGCGCGUAAAGCUCUGUCAGCAGGAAAGAAAAUGACGGUACGUGUAGAAGACGCCCCGGCUAACUACGUGCCAGCAGCCGCGGUAAUACGGAGGGGGCAAGCGGUAUCCGGAUGUACUGGGUGUAAAGGGGGCGCAGGCGGCGGUGCAAGACAGGUGUGAAAGCCCGGGGCUCAACCCCGGGACUGCUCAUGGAACUGCGUGGCUAGAGUGCAGGCGGGGCAGGCGGAAUGCCUGGUGUAGCGGUGAAAUGCGUAGAUAUCAGGCAGAACACCGAUGGCGAAGGCAGCCUGCUGGGCUGCAACUGACGUUGAGGCACGAAAGCGUGGGGAGCAAACAGGAUUAGAUACCCUGGUAGUC